AGAGAACACAUUCCUCAUGUCAUUUUGAAAGUCAUCAACUUUUGAAUACUCCAACCUUUUUAGCUUUAACUCAAUAUCCCGCAAACUUGUUAUCUUUUUGUUUUGCUCAUUCUUUUUUAAAANCCAUGCAUCUCUUCCCACCAUCAAACGCUUCAUCAUCGUCCAACANUGCAUCCUUUUGGACCUGUCCAUUCUCAUUGAAUUUUCUACCUUUUGUUUCCUUUCUCUUUUCUUCCACUCUUUCUGCACCAUUUCCUUAUGGUUCCCAUUAUCACCAUCAUCGUACCUAAUUUUUUCAUCACUUUCACAAGAUUUUGAUGCACUAUUCACAUCAAUCCAUAUGGCUUCUGCAUAAUAUCCCCUUUUAUUCUUUAAUUCACACACUCCUUCACGAUUCUUAGGACGUGAAGAAUAAAUUUUUAUGAUGAGUUUUUUUUCGAGAUUGUUGUAUUUCUUC
rnacentral:lncRNA from 1 species